rnacentral:misc_RNA from 1 species
UUUGUCUUAAGCUUGUCGCUGGAUCACGCAUGGACAUACUCGAGCACAUGCUUACACGUAGGCCUGCACAUAUUGAUGCACGCCAUAUGCCGAGGUAGGUAUGCAUGCAGUGUGGCACGUGAGAACGACAAGACACAACCUGGGCGGAGAGCAAGUCACGAGGGAGAUGCGAGGGAGGUGUGUUGGACGCCUUCGCGUUGAGAUUCUCACGCAGCAUCGCUUGCCAAUGCUCACAACUCACUCCGUUCUCGCUCUUCUCAGGUGUCGCAGCUCAUCCUUUCGCUAUUUUGUUGGUUUUGUGCUGGUAAGGGAAGCUGAGACGGAGCAGCUGUGCUUAGCAUUGUCAGUAACAGAAGGGAAGGGUCGCCGUCUCACCCAACGUGUGGCAUGGAGGAUGGCGGCCUGUCGGCGGAUGUGACGGCCUUUUGACACCGCUGCAGCCCUUUGCGCUGUCACCGGACUCCUUCGCAGCAGAGCGUGUUGGGUACGCUCUCCGAGAGACAGACUCACUUCCCACAUCGAGUACAUGCGAACACAGUGGCGAAGGGGGCUUUUGCGCCUCAUCAUCUGCAGAAAGGCUUACAGACAUAUGUGCAGGUGCGUGCGCGCACGCACAAAGCCGCUUGACAAGAGGGACGAUCGCCCCUCUCCCGUGUCUCCCUUUCCACUUCAGCGUUGGCUGUUGUGUUGCUCUCCAGUAGAAGGGAGAACAAGCGGCCUUCUCGAUGGUGUCACAGACGUCGCGUAUAACGGCGGAAGAGACUUAUUUACCUUCCUGCAGACCCUCCUCAUGCGCUCAUGGCUUCCUCGCUCUCCUCCUCCUGUUUCUUGUCUCACGCCCGCUCCUUCGUUUGUGAG